GCCUAUCUCAGUUCGGAUUGGAGGCUGAAACCCGCCUCCAUGAAGUUGGAUUCGCUAGUAAUCGUGCAUCAGCCAUGGCGCGGUGAAUACGUUCCCGGGCCUUGUACAUACCGCCCGUCAAGCCAUGGGAGCUGGGGGUGCCUGAAGUUCGUGACCGCAAGGAUCGACCUAGGGCAAAACCGGUGACUGGGGCUAAGUCGUAACAAGGUAAC
rnacentral:rRNA from 1 species